rnacentral:rRNA from 1 species
UACGGAGGAUCCAAGCGUUAUCCGGAUUAUUGGGUUUAAAGGGUGCGUAGGCGGCCUGUUAAGUCAGGGGUGAAAGACGGUAGCUCAACUAUCGCAGUGCCCUUGAUACUGAUGGGCUUGAAUUGACUAGAGGUAGGCGGAAUGUGACAAGUAGCGGUGAAAUGCAUAGAUAUGUCACAGAACACCGAUUGCGAAGGCAGCUUACUAUGGUCUUAUUGACGGCUGAGGCACGAAAGCGUGGGGAUCAAACAGG